AGAGAGGAAGAGAGGAAGAGAGGAAGAGAGGAAGAGAGGAAGAGAGGAAGAGAGGAAGAGAGGAAGAGAGGAAGAGAGGAAGAGAAUCUUAAAAUAGUACCCUGAAAAAGAUCAGAAAAGAGCCAGGAUGCUAUUUGUGUGUCUCUCAAGGAAAAUAAACGAAUUCACUUAACCCUCCUUUGAGUAAUUGAUUUGAACAUGUGCAGUAACGUUGAUUAAUCUAAGUGCAAUCUACCUCCUGGUAAAAGUUUUUUUCAACGUGUGUAUCUCAAGACUGAAAAUUAUGCUGCAAACAGCGCAAGGGAAGUUCUACAGAGCUACAAGAUGCUUUGCUGAGUUUUCAAAACUUCAUUCUCCCCUCAGAUGAGCAACAGUAAAAAGUGAAAGUGGAAAAAAAAAAGAAAACUUUCCCAUGAAUAGCAGUGUUUCAGGCACUUACACCGAGCAACAUGAAUUUAGGAUACUUUCAGUUUUCAAUUACUUCCUUCUCAAAUCACACACCUCAGCACUAACAUUCACCACCUGCAUUUUUAGAGGCUAGAAAUCAUCACGAGGAAAAUUCCUGGGGAGCUCUCAGUCCUCAGCUGGUAUGAAUGACACUAGUCCCACACUUCUGAGCUACAGUUCAAGGAGGCCUGCAGGAGACAGAGAAGUUCCACUGCAUCUGGCAAUACAACUUGCAUCCUCAAAUCUGCCUUCAAAGCUGUAAAUGCUAGGAACAAACUUUUAUCCAUGUAUCGGUCCUGUUGUUACAGUCAUCCGUGGUGGUUUACCUAAGGACAUGGAAGCUAGCUUCUGGCAACACAGAUCCCUGCUGACAAAGGAGGCAUGUUCCAUCUCCCAGGUACCCAAAGCUGCUCUAGUAGAAGACAUCAGAAUCCAAAAUCUUCUGAUUCCUGACAAAUACCUCCUUUUGGUUGAAGUUGGCAAAAUGAAAGCAAAGGCUGGUCAGCACAUUUUCCAUCAUAAUCUAAGACUACGCAGAUGGAUCACAAAGAACUUCAGCAGUCAACACUACAUGCUUUAACGCGGACUAAAGCAAACUCAAGAUAAGCUUCAUCAAUAGCUGGAAGUGAACUUAAAAACAAAAAUGUUCAAAGCCAUUACGAAAUGAAAGCUACCUGUGAGGUACUGUGACACUAGAAGCUCCCAGGCUGAAUGAAAUAUGAAACUUGCUGGAAGAGUACAACACAGGUAGGAGUCAAAAAGCUUUUCACCUAAUUUUGUCUCUUACACACUGGAAUGACUCCAGUGUAACUUUUAUACUUUUUGUGCUUUCGUUUCCACAUCUGUAAUUCAGGUUACAUGCACCUUGCAACAGUUAUCCCACAAGGAUACAGAAAAGCUGAAAUGUUUUUUGAGAUCCAAGGGGAGGUUCAAGAAUUACAAUUAUAAAAAGCACAAGCACUUAGCGCUAACACCUCCAAACAGUAUCUCAAGUACAGGAAGGAUGGCCCCCAGACACAAGCCCUCAGAGCUGGACCUGAAGCAACAUGCUCUCAAGCUUCGUGAAGCCCGGAACCUCUCUCUGCUUCCAGCAGUGUGCAAAGACACCCUGCAGUACUAGGCUAUUAAUCAAUGCCUAAAGGCAAAACAAAAAGCUGUGUUCAGACUUCACACAGCUGCAACUUCUUCCACCUAAACCCCAGAGGUCCGAAAAUCUCUUUGAUUAGUAGGAACAAGUGUUCCACGAGUAACUAAUCCACAGAGGAGUAAGUGCGAGAGCAUCAAAGUGUCCAUAAACACUCAAAUUGCUCAGCACAGCUAGGCAUUCAGCCUUUAAAAAUGCAGCCUCACUGAGAAACUAUGCACCAUGAACAAACCAGUCACCAAGUACACCAAAGGCGAGGCAAAGAAACACAUCACUGAAACACUAUUUUGUGUUCCCACCAGUUUAACUCAUCUUCAUACAAAGACAGUAUGAAACAUAAGGUACUUUGGUUACCAUUAAAAAAAAAACACUUUAAUAUAAAACAUUAAGAAAUGGUGUCCUUAAGCUAGAUCAGGAGUCUCGUAUCCUUAAAGACUGUGUUAAGUGUGAAGCUGUCAGUAGCAUUAGUAUUCACUAACGACAAGAGGAAUUUUGUCCCAUUUAUAACAAGCUGUUAUGCUUUCCCUAUCUGUGAAGAGCCAGUGCAGUCAAGCCAUGGGAAAUAUAAGAAAAUUACUGGAAUUAGCAGGGGUGUAUACGUUUCUGUGUUUCUAGGAAGGCUGAAGUACGAGAAUUUCACAGAUGUGGGGACUUUUGAGAGCGUUCCAAUUGAAACAAACUUGCAACAAACCCUGCGGAGAGGUUCAUUCAACAGGAUGAGCUAACCAAGAAAACAGUCAUUUCUGGCUAGUUGCAUCAAUAUUAGCAGCAGCUGUGAACUCGGUAAACAGCUCUGUUUUCUGGUUGUCAAAGAGCUGCUAAAGCAGAUGUGAAACUCAUCAAAAAUAGGUCACGAGCAGAGAACAUGCAAGGGAAUGCAUCAAUACCAGAGUGAUCUGAAAAUAAGCAAUGCUGGAUUAUCUCAAUAGUUUUUAUUACCCCCAAAUCGUACCUAACACACAACAGCAACCAACAUACUCUUUAAUGUGAUUGCUAUGACAGGACCUUCCUCAUAGCACACUGGGUGAAUAAGGGUGUGGUGUUUUCAGCAGCUGAAGUACCAGAAAGAAGAAAAGGUACUGAAUUGCUCUCUGCUUACUUCUGAAUGAGGUUUUCUGAGGCAGGUUUUCAUGCCUGUCCUUCUUCUCAAACUCUAAUCAUCUCAGACUGAGGUAUCACAAUAAGCCAAACACAGAAUUCGCCACAGCUUAUUUUACUUUUGCCACUACAAACAGAUUACAAGUACACUCUGUCCGAUAGGCAACCCUCCAGCAACAGCCAUUCCUCCACGGGCAGGAAUCGUGGCCAACACAGCAAUGACCUUCCCCCCUCGUGGCCCACAGGACCCACUUCCUCAGAAUUCCCCCAUACGGAAAUUCACUUGGAUCUACUUCUAGGACUCUCACAGUAUGUAAAACACUUAACUUUCUUUACUGUCAAGAAUAUAAAGGCAGAAGGCUUAGCUCUAAAGGAAACAGACUAAGAAAAAAAAAUGGCGUGCUUCUUCUACAGUGGGACUAAACAAGGAACCUGUAUGUCCUGCUAUUGCUGCACCGAAUCUCCAUGGCCAUCCUUCACAGUGCAGGUGUGAGGCUGCCUUUGGCCAAAUGCCUUCAACAAGCUGAGUUGAAGCCCCAUAGCCUGAAGCAGACAAGUACUUCCCCAGUCAGUCAGUUACUGGGUGAGGACAGACACUCUCUUCUCUGGUUGUUUCCACUUCCACUACAAUGGCAGAUUUUACCUCCAACACCUAAUGACAUCAUAUAAUAAAACACUAGUAAGGAGGAGCUAGUCAAACCAACAAACAGAAAAGCCACUGUUAGCCUGAAAGUUAAUGUCAUGUUCAAAUGGGAGAAAACAGGUCUUCGGGAAGCAUUCAGAAAAAAUACUCCUUCAUUUAAGUAGCAGCAGCUCAGAAUAAAGCACUGAAAAAAAUAGAAACCGUGAAGAGGCUUCAGUUUAUUGAUGUUCCAAACCAGCUUUCCAGAAUUUCAGAAGAGAGGGAGGAGAGAGGGGGGAAAAGAGUUCACAUCCAACUUAAAAGAAAUCCCAUGACUUAUCUCAGUCGGAAGCCUUUGCUGAGCCAAAUGUAUGUGCAUUUUAGCACACAUUUCCUAUACCACAGAACCUAGGGUGAAACAUGGUUGUUGAUUACCAUAUUAAAACGGGUGUC
ensembl:lncRNA